rnacentral:rRNA from 1 species
GAUGAACGCUGGCGGCGUGCCUAAUACAUGCAAGUCGAGCGAACGGACGAGAAGCUUGCUUCUCUGAUGUUAGCGGCGGACGGGUGAGUAACACGUGGAUAACCUACCUAUAAGACUGGGAUAACUUCGGGAAACCGGCGCUAAUACCGGAUAAUAUUUUGAACCGCAUGGUUCAAAAGUGAAAGACGGUGUUGCUGUCACUUAUAGAUGCAUCCGCGCUGCAUUGGCUAGUUGGUAAGGUAACGGCUUACCAAGGCAACGAUGCAUAGCCGAAGUGAGAGAGUGAUCGGCGACAUGGGAACUGAGACACGGUCCAGACGACUACGGGAGGCAGCAGUAGGGAAUCGUCCGCAGUGGGCGAAAGCCUGACGGAGCAACGCCGCGUGAGUGAUGGAGGUCUUCGGAUCGUAAAACUCUGUUAUUAGGGAAGAACAUAUGUGUAAGUAACUGUGGAGAUCUUGACGGUACCUAAUCAGAAAGCAACGGCUAACUACGUG